rnacentral:rRNA from 1 species
GACGAACGCUGGCGGCGUGCCUAAUACAUGCAAGUAGAACGCACAGUUUAUACCGUAGCUUGCUACACCAUAGACUGUGAGUUGCGAACGGGUGAGUAACGCGUAGGUAACCUGCCUGGUAGCGGGGGAUAACUAUUGGAAACGAUAGCUAAUACCGCAUAAUAUUGAUUAUUGCAUGAUAAUUGAUUGAAAGAUGCUAUUGCAUCACUACCAGAUGGACCUGCGUUGUAUUAGCUAGUAGGUGAGGUAACGGCUCACCUAGGCGACGAUACAUAGCCGACCUGAGAGGGUGAUCGGCCACACUGGGACUGAGACACGGCCCAGACUCCUACGGGAGGCAGCAGUAGGGAAUCUUCGGCAAUGGACGAAAGUCUGACCGAGCAACGCCGCGUGAGUGAAGAAGGGUUUCGGAUCGUAAAGCUCUGUUGUAAGAGAGGAACGGGUGUGAGAGUGGAAAGUUCACACUGUGACGGUAUCUUACCAGAAAGGGACGGCUAACUACGUG